UACGAAGGGGGCUAGCGUUGCUCGGAAUCACUGGGCGUAAAGCGCACGUAGGCGGAUUGUUAAGUCAGGGGUGAAAUCCUGGAGCUCAACUCCAGAACUGCCUUUGAUACUGGCGAUCUCGAGUCCGGGAGAGGUGAGUGGAACUGCGAGUGUAGAGGUGAAAUUCGUAGAUAUUCGCAAGAACACCAGUGGCGAAGGCGGACUCACUGGCCCGGUACUGACGCUGAGGUGCGGAAAGCGA
rnacentral:rRNA from 1 species